AGCAGCCGCGGUAAUUCCAGCUCCAAUAGCGUAUAUUAAAGUUGCUGCAGUUAAAAAGCUCGUAGUUGAAUUUCGGGACCAUCAUGUCGGUCGUGCCUCGGUACGUACUGGCAUUGUUGGUUUCUACCUUCUGACGAACCAUGAUGUCAUUUAUUUGGUGUCGUGGGAAAUCAGGACUGUUACUUUGAAAAAUUAGAGUGUUUAAAGCAGGCUCACGCUUGAAUACAUUAGCAUGGAAUAAUGAAAUAGGACGUUUGAUUCUAUUUUGUUGGUUUCUAGGAUCGACGUAAUGAUUAAUAGGGAUAGUUGGGGGCAUUAGUAUUCAAUUGUCAGAGGUGAAAUUCUUGGAUUUAUUGAAGACUAACUACUGCGAAAGCAUUUGCCAAGGAUGUUUUCAUUAAUCAAGAACGAAAGUUAGGGGAUCGAAGACGAUCAGAUACCGUCGUAGUCUUAACCAUAAACUAUGCCGACUAGGGAUCGGAUGAUGUUAAUUUUUAAUGUACUCAUUCGGCGUCCG
rnacentral:rRNA from 1 species